UACAGAGGUUGCAAGCGUUAUCCGGAAUGAUUGGGCGUAAAGCGUCUGUAGGUGGCUUUUUAAGUCCGCCGUCAAAUCCCAGGGCUCAACUCUGGACAGGCGGUGGAAACUACCAAGCUCGAGUACGGUAGGGGCAGAGGGAAUUUCCGGUGGAGCGGUGAAAUGCGUAGAGAUCGGAAAGAACACCAACGACGAAAGCACUCUGCUGGGCCGACACUAACACUGAGAGACAAAAGCUAGGGGAGCAAAUGGG
rnacentral:rRNA from 1 species